rnacentral:rRNA from 1 species
GACGUAGGGGGCCAGCGUUGUCCGGAUUUAUUGGGUUUAAAGGGUGCGUAGGCGGUUCUCUAAGUCAGUUGUGAAAUACUUCAGCUUAACUGGAGAGUGCAAUUGAUACUGGAGAACUUGAGUACUGAUGAGGUAGGCGGAAUGGACGGUGUAGCGGUGAAAUGCUUAGAUAUCGUCCAGAACACCGAUAGCGAAGGCAGCUUACUAAGGAGUAACUGACGCUGAGGCACGAAAGUGUGGGAGUCAAACAGG